AACGAACGCUGGCGGCAUGCCUAACACAUGCAAGUCGAACGAGACCUUCGGGUCUAGUGGCGCACGGGUGCGUAACGCGUGGGAACCUGCCCUUAGGUUCGGAAUAACUCCCCGAAAGGGGUGCUAAUACCGGAUAAUGUCUUCGGACCAAAGAUUUAUCGCCUUUGGAUGGGCCCGCGUUGGAUUAGCUAGUUGGUAGGGUAAAAGCCUACCAAGGCGACGAUCCAUAGCUGGUCUGAGAGGAUGAUCAGCCACACUUGGACUGAGACACGGCCCAGACUCCUACGGGAGGCAGCAGUGGGGAAUAUUGGACAAUGGGCGAAAGCCUGAUCCAGCAAUGCCGCGCGAGUGAUGAAGGCCUUAGGGUUGUAAAGCUCUUUUACCCGGGAUGAUAAUGACAGUACCGGGAGAAUAAGCUCCGGCUAACUCCGUG
rnacentral:rRNA from 1 species